rnacentral:rRNA from 1 species
ACCUUCGGGCCUCUUGCCAUCGGAUGUGCCCAGAUGGGAUUAGCUAGUAGGUGGGGUAACGGCUCACCUAGGCGACGAUCCCUAGCUGGUCUGAGAGGAUGACCAGCCACACUGGAACUGAGACACGGUCCAGACUCCUACGGGAGGCAGCAGUGGGGAAUAUUGCACAAUGGGCGCAAGCCUGAUGCAGCCAUGCCGCGUGUAUGAAGAAGGCCUUCGGGUUGUAAAGUACUUUCAGCGGGGAGGAAGGGAGUAAAGUUAAUACCUUUGCUCAUUGACGUUACCCGCA